rnacentral:rRNA from 1 species
CGAGCGCAACCCUUGUCCUUAGUUACCAGCACGUUAUGGUGGGCACUCUAAGGAGACUGCCGGAGGACAAACCGAGGAAGGUGGGGAUGACGUCAAGUCAUCAUGGCCCUUACGGCCUGGGCUACACACGUGCUACAAUGGUCGGUACAAAGGGUUGCCAAGCCGCGAGGUGGAGCUAAUCCCAUAAAACCGAUCGUAGUCCGGAUCGCAGUCUGCAACUCGACUGCGUGAAGUCGGAAUCGCUAGUAAUCGUGAAUCAGAAUGUCACGGUGAAUACGUUCCCGGGCCUU